AUUGAACGCUGGCGGAAUGCUUUACACAUGCAAGUCGAACGGCAGCACGGGGGCAGCCCUGGUGGCGAGUGGCGAACGGGUGAGUAAUACAUCGGAACGUGCCCGGUCGUGGGGGAUAACGUAGCGAAAGUUACGCUAAUACCGCAUACGAACUGAGGAUGAAAGCGGGGGACCUUCGGGCCUCGCGCGAUCGGAGCGGCCGAUGUCAGAUUAGGUAGUUGGUGGGGUAAAGGCCUACCAAGCCGACGAUCUGUAGCUGGUCUGAGAGGACGACCAGCCACACUGGGACUGAGACACGGCCCAGACUCCUACGGGAGGCAGCAGUGGGGAAUUUUGGACAAUGGGCGCAAGCCUGAUCCAGCCAUUCCGCGUGCAGGACGAAGGCCUUCGGGUUGUAAACUGCUUUUGUACGGAACGAAAAGGCUCUGGCUAAUACCUGGGGCUCAUGACGGUACCGUAAGAAUAAGCACCGGCUAACUACGUG
rnacentral:rRNA from 1 species